GACAGGUGCUGCAUGGCUGUCGUCAGCUCGUGUCAUGAGAUGUUGGGUUAAGUCCCGCAACGAGCGCCAACCCCGCCUUCAGUUGCCAACGGUUCGGCCGUGCACUCUGGAGGAACUGCCUGUGACAAGCAGGAGGAAGGUGGGGAUGACGUCAAGUCCUCAUGGCCCUUAUGGGCUGGGCUACACACGUGCUACAAUGGCGGUGACAGAGGGAUGCAAUACCGCGAGGUGGAGCAAAUCCCUAAAAGCCGUCUCAGUUCGGAUUGUUCUCUGCAACUCGAGAGCAUGAAGUUGGAAUCGCUAGUAAUCGCGGAUCAGCUCGCCGCGGUGAAUACGUUCCCGGGCCUU
rnacentral:rRNA from 1 species